UUGAACUGAAGAGUUUGAUCCUGGCUCAGAUUGAACGCUGGCGGCAUGCCUUACACAUGCAAGUCGAACGGCAGCACGGGCUUCGGCCUGGUGGCGAGUGGCGAACGGGUGAGUAAUACAUCGGAACAUGUCCUGUAGUGGGGGAUAGCCCGGCGAAAGCCGGAUUAAUACCGCAUACGAUCCACGGAUGAAAGCGGGGGACCUUCGGGCCUCGCGCUAUAGGGUUGGCCGAUGGCUGAUUAGCUAGUUGGUGGGGUAAAGGCCUACCAAGGCGACGAUCAGUAGCUGGUCUGAGAGGACGACCAGCCACACUGGGACUGAGACACGGCCCAGACUCCUACGGGAGGCAGCAGUGGGGAAUUUUGGACAAUGGGCGCAAGCCUG
rnacentral:rRNA from 1 species